ensembl:rRNA 5S_rRNA 5S ribosomal RNA
UGCCAUAGCCAUGUCCUCCUGCAGCCCAAGACUGGUUACUCACUGAAGCUAAGCAGGGAUGAGCCUGGUCAGUAUCUGGAUGGGAGACCACAUGGGAAAACUAGGUUGCUGUUGGUGG